rnacentral:rRNA from 1 species
AGUCGAGCGGGGGAAGGUAGCUUGCUACCGGACCUAGCGGCGGACGGGUGAGUAAUGCUUAGGAAUCUGCCUAUUAGUGGGGGACAACAUCUCGAAAGGGAUGCUAAUACCGCAUACGUCCUACGGGAGAAAGCAGGGGAUCUUCGGACCUUGCGCUAAUAGAUGAGCCUAAGUCGGAUUAGCUAGUCGGUGGGGUAAAGGCCUACCAAGGCGACGAUCUGUAGCGGGUCUGAGAGGAUGAUCCGCCACACUGGGACUGAGACACGGCCCAGACUCCUACGGGAGGCAGCAGUGGGGAAUAUUGGACAAUGGGGGGAACCCUGAUCCAGCCAUGC